rfam:Parcubacteria bacterium DG_72 WOR1_52_54_34, whole genome shotgun sequence.
GGAGAGGUGCCUGAGUCUGGUUGAAAGGGAAAGUUUGCUAAACUUUUAUAGGGUGUAAUAGCUCUAUCGUGGGUUCGAAUCCCACCCUCUCCG